rnacentral:rRNA from 1 species
UGCAGUCGAGCGGACAGAUGGGAGCUUGCUCCCUGAUGUCAGCGGCGGACGGGUGAGUAACACGUGGGUAACCUGCCUGUAAGACUGGGAUAACUCCGGGAAACCGGGGCUAAUACCGGAUGCUUGAUUGAACCGCAUGGUUCAAUUAUAAAAGGUGGCUUUUAGCUACCACUUACAGAUGGACCCGCGGCGCAUUAGCUAGUUGGUGAGGUAACGGCUCACCAAGGCAACGAUGCGUAGCCNACCUGAGAGGGUGAUCGGCCACACUGGGACUGAGACACGGCCCAGACUCCUACGGGAGGCAGCAGUAGGGAAUCUUCCGCAAUGGACGAAAGUCUGACGGAGCAACGCCGCGUGAGUGAUGAAGGUUUUCGGAUCGUAAAACUCUGUUGUUAGGGAAGAACAAGUACCGUUCGAAUAGGGCGGUACCUUGACGGUACCUAACCAGAAAGCCACGGCUAACUACGUGCCAGCAGCCGCGGUAAUACGUAGGUGGCAAGCGUUGUCCGGAAUUAUUGGGCGUAAAGCGCGCGCAGGCGGUUUCUUAAGUCUGAUGUGAAAGCCCCCGGCUCAACCGGGGAGGGUCAUUGGAAACUGGGGAACUUGAGUGCAGAAGAGGAGAGUGGAAUUCCACGUGUAGCGGUGAAAUGCGUAGAGAUGUGGAGGAACACCAGUGGCGAAGGCGACUCU